rnacentral:rRNA from 1 species
AGAGUUUGAUCCUGGCUCAGAUUGAACGCUGGCGGCAGGCUUAACACAUGCAAGUCGAACGGUAGCAGGAGAAAGCUUGCUUUCUUGCUGACGAGUGGCGGACGGGUGAGUAAUGCUUGGGAAUCUGGCUUAUGGAGGGGGAUAACUACGGGAAACUGUAGCUAAUACCGCGUAGUGUCGAGAGACGAAAGUGCGGGACCGAAAGGCCGCAUGCCAUGAGAUGAGCCCAAGUGGGAUUAGGUAGUUGGUGGGGUAAAGGCCUACCAAGCCUGCGAUCUCUAGCUGGUCUGAGAGGAUGGCCAGCCACACUGGAACUGAGACACGGUCCAGACUCCUACGGGAGGCAGAAGUGGGGAAUAUUGCGCAAUGGGGGGAACCCUGACGCAGCCAUGCCGCGUGAAUGAAGAAGGCCUUCGGGUUGUAAAGUUCUUUCGGUAUUGAGGAAGGGAUGUGUGCUAAUAGUACAUAUCAUUGACGUUAAAUACAGAAGAAGCACCGGCUAACUCCGUGCCAGCAGCCGCGGUAAUACGGAGGGUGCGAGCGUUAAUCGGAAUAACUGGGCGUAAAGGGCACGCAGGCGGUUAUUUAAGUGAGGUGUGAAAGCCCCGGGCUUAACCUGGGAAUUGCAUUUCAGACUGGGUAACUAGAGUACUUUAGGGAGGGGUAGAAUUCCACGUGUAGCGGUGAAAUGCGUAGAGAUGUGGAGGAAUACCGAAGGCGAAGGCAGCCCCUUGGGAAUGUACUGACGCUCAUGUGCGAAAGCGUGGGGAGCAAACAGGAUUAGAUACCCUGGUAGUCCACGCUGUAAACGCUGUCGAUUUGGGGAUUGGGCUUAAAGCUUGGUGCCCGUAGCUAACGUGAUAAAUCGACCGCCUGGGGAGUACGGCCGCAAGGUUAAAAUUC